GGUUAGGAUAUUUGAUUAAUAAAGAAAAUCAAGUUCGUUGAAAUAUAUUAAAAUAACGAUUCAACUAAAUUUUAAUUACGUACGAUUAUUUUAUAAUUAAUACUAGAAGGAGUUUCUAAUGUGCGAACAGUACUUUGGAAUCGAUUUUGAAGUUUCGACGAAAAGAAGUUUAACGAGUUAAAACUUCGACGCUUUUAAGAUUGCCACUCAAUCGAAACUUCGUGUAAAUUAUAUGGAAAUAAAAUAUACAGGAUGUGCGAUAUGCGGGUGUAACGGUAUUCGAGAUGUUUCAACCGUUCGAAAUAAUUGGUGAGAAAGAAUUAAUACAAAUAAAAUUGAUUGCAUUUAAUCACAAAUAAAUAAAAUUUUCGAAAAACUCGAACAAUUGAAGGCAAUUCUAUAUUUUUGGAAAUUUGCAAAUCUUAACAAAAUUCCGCGAAAGCGAUAAAUACAUGAAAUAGAAAAA